rnacentral:tRNA from 1 species
GGCCCCGUCGUCUAGCGGUCAGGACACGGCCCUUUCACGGCCGUGGCACGGGUUCGAUUCCCGUCGGGGUCA